ACUCAAAGGAAUUGACGGGGGCCCGCACAAGCAGCGGAGCGUGUGGUUUAAUUCGACGCAACACGCAGAACCUUACCCAGAUUGGACAUGGACCUGCAAGUCAGGGAAACCUGGCUGCCUUCGAGGGUGGUCCACAGGUGCUGCAUGGCUGUCGUCAGCUCGUGUCGUGAGAUGUUGGGUUAAGUCCCGCAACGAGCGCAACCCUUGUCCCGUGUUACUCGUGUCACGGGGGACUGCCGUGGUGUUACCACGGAGGAAGGCGGGGAUGACGUCAAGUCCGCAUGGCCCUUACGUCUGGGGCGACACACACGCUACAAUGGCCGGAGGAAUGCGCGGCGACUCAGCAAUGGGAAGCUAAUCGCGAAGACCGGUCGCAGUGCAGAUUGGGGGCUGCAACUCGCCCCCAUGAAGGCGGAGUUGCUAGUAACCGCGUGACAGCAGAGCGCGGUGAAUACGUACCCGGGCCUUGUACACACCGCCCGU
rnacentral:rRNA from 1 species